GGAAAGGAUGCAGCUAAAUGGUACAGGAUCCGCUUGGCAUGCAAAAGGUCCCAGGUUCAAUUCUUGGCAUCUCCA
rnacentral:tRNA from 1 species